rnacentral:tRNA from 1 species
GGGGUUGUGGCUCAGUGGUAGAGCACUUGCCUAUUGCAUGUUAGGCCCUGGGUUCGAUCCUCAGCACCA